rnacentral:tRNA from 1 species
CGCUGUCGUAGACGAACACGGGGCGCGGUGCGGCGCCCUCGCGCGCCGCCCGGGUGCGGGCGUUGGUCGCCUCGGCGGACCGUAUCCA